AGUGGAUGGGGAGCAACCUAGUUGUGCGUGUGUAAAGGUAGUGCCAAGAAAAGCGAUGAUCAUGUUGAAAAUCAAUUCCCGGUACCCGAAACCGACACAGGUGGGCAAGUAGAGAAUACUAAGGGGCGCGAGGUAACUCUCUCCAAGGAACUCGGCAAAAUGACCCCGUAACUUAGGGAGAAGGGGUGCCACCGAGAGGUGGUCGCAGUGAAGAGGCCCAGGCGACUGUUUAGCAAAAACAUAGGUCUCUGCAAACUCGAAAGAGGAGGUAUAGGGGCUGACGCCUGCCCAGUGCCGGAAGGUUAAAGAAGUUGGUCAGUUUUAGGAUGAAGCUAGCGACUGAAGCCCCGGUGAACGGCGGCCGUAACUACAACGGUCCUAAGGUAGCGAAACUCCUUGUCGGGUAAGUUCCGACCCGCACGAAAGGCGUAACGAUCUGGGCGCUGUCUCGGAGAGAGGCUCGGCGAAAUAGGAUUGUCUGUGAAGAUACGGACUACCUGCAUUUGGACAGAAAGACCCUAUGAAGCUUUACUAUAGCUUGGAAUUGUGUUCGGGCUUCCUGUGCGCAGGAUAGGUGGGAGGCGUAGAAGGUAUUCUUGUGGGGAUACUGGAGCCAACGGUGAGAUACCACUCUCAGGAGGCUAGAAUUCUAACUUAAUUAAGGACAGUUUCAGGUGGGUAGUUUGACUGGGGCGGUCGCCUCCAAAAAGGUAACGGAGGCGUACAAAGGUUCCCUCAGACUGGUUGGAAAUCAGUCGAAGAGUGCAAAGGCAGAAGGGAGCUUGACUGCGAGAAGUACAGUUCGAGCAGGGUGGAAACACGGUCUUAGUGAUCCGACGGUGCUGUGUGGAAGGGCCGUCGCUCAACGGAUAAAAGUUACUCUAGGAUAACAGGCUGAUCUCCCCCAAGAGUUCACAUCGACGGGGAGGUUUGGCACCUCGAUGUCGGCUCAUCGCAACCUGGGUCGGAAGUACGUCCCAAGGGUUGGGCUGUUCGCCCAUUAAAGCGGUACGUGAGCUGGGUUCAGAACGUCGUGAGACAGUUCGGUCCAUAUCCGAUGUAGGCGUGAGAAUAUUGAGAGGAGCCUUCCUUAGUACGAGAGGACCGGGAAGGACGCACCGCUGGUGUACCUGUUAUGAUGCCAAUUGUAAACGCAGGGUAGCCAAGUGCGGAGAGGAUAACCGCUGAAAGCAUCUAAGUGGGAAGCCCACCUCAAGAUGAGUAUUCUGGUGUAAGGUCACGGGAAGACGACCCGUAAAUAGGCACGAGGUGGAAGUGCAGAGAUGUAUGAAGCCGAAGUGUACUAAUAGACCGUCGGCUUGACC
rnacentral:rRNA from 1 species